rnacentral:rRNA from 1 species
UGAGCAAUCUGCCCUUCUCUUCGGAAUAAGCGUUGGAAACGACGUCUAAUGCCGAAUACGACCUCCUUUCGCAUGAUCGGAGGUGGAAAGCUCCGGCGGAGAAGGAUGAGCUCGCGGCCUAUCAGCUAGUUGGUGUGGGUAAUGGCCCACCAAGGCGACGACGGGUAGCCGGCCUGAGAGGGUGACCGGCCACACUGGGACUGAGACACGGUCCAGACUCCUACGGGAGNAG